rnacentral:rRNA from 1 species
UACAGAGGGUGCAAACGUUGUUCGGAACUACUGGGCGUAAAGCGCGUGUAGGCGGCCUCGUGUGUCGGUUGUGAAAUCCCAUGGCUCAACCGUGGAAGGGCAUUCGAAACUACGAGGCUGGAGUGCUGGAGAGGAAGGUGGAAUGCUCGGUGUAGAGGUGAAAUUCGUAGAUAUCGAGCGGAACACCGGUGGCGAAGGCGGCCUUCUGGACAGCAACUGACGCUGAGACGCGAAAGCGUGGGGAGCAAACAGG